rnacentral:rRNA from 1 species
UGACCCCUGACCCCAUGCCGAACUCAGAAGUGAAACGCCGUAGCGCCGAUGGUAGUGUGGGGUCUCCCCAUGCGAGAGUAGGGAACUGCCAGGC